UGCAAUUUAUUCAGAUGUGAUUGGCUGGCUGGACGCCCUGAGAGGGAAGGGCAUGGUGGCCAAGUAUUCCUGGUCCUGCAAGAGGAGCUACAAGACUGGAUUCGUGUGGCACGAUCUGUCUGUGGAUGAUCUGCUGCUGCUCACGCAAGGAACAGAGUACGUUCUCAAGGGCUCCGAGUUCCCAUUCGACGAGUCAAAGCCUCUGCCAAUGCCAGAUCAUCAGCAGAAUAAUGCAGUAUGUGCAAAGGUUCAGCCCUGCA